rnacentral:rRNA from 1 species
AUUGAACGCUGGCGGCAGGCCUAAUACAUGCAAGUCGAGCGGACGAAGGGAGCUCUCUCCUGGAUUCAGUUGCGGACGGGCGAGUAAUGCCUAGGAAUCUGCCUGGCAGAUGAGGAUAACGUCCGUUCACGGGCGCUAAUACCGCAUCCGUUCUGAGGUUGAACGGGAUGGAUCUUUGGUCCACGCGCUAUUUGAUGACACUUAGUCGUAUUAGCUAGUUGGUGAGGUAAAGGCUUACCAAGGCGACGAUCCGUAACUGAUCUGAGAGGAUGAUCGGUCACACUGGAACUGAGACACGGUCCAGACUCCUACGGGAGGCAGCAGUAGGGAAUAUUCCGCAACGGGCGAAAGCCUGACGCAGCCAUGCCGCGUGAGUGAAGAAGGUCUUCGGAUCGUAAAACUCUGUUAGUUGGGAAGAAGAAAUGUAUAAGUAAAUAUGCCCGUUUUGACGGUACCUAAAGAGAAAGCCACGGCUAACUACGUG